rnacentral:rRNA from 1 species
UACAGAGGUCUCAAGCGUUGUUCGGAUUCAUUGGGCGUAAAGGGUGUGUAGGUGGCGCCGUUAGUCGGGUGUGAAAUUUCGGAGCUUAACUCCGAAACUGCAUUCGAUACUGCGGUGCUUGAGGACUGGAGAGGAGACUGGAAUUUACGGUGUAGCGGUGAAAUGCGCAGAUAUCAGGAAGAACACCCGUGGCUAAGGCGGCUCUCUAGUACGGUACUGACGCUGAGACGCGAAAGCGUGGGGGAGCGAACAGG